rnacentral:lncRNA from 1 species
GGAUAUGUGCCUGGAUGGGAAGAAAGGCUCCUUACAUGACACAAAUGCUUUGCUGGAGAGACUCGCCUGUGGCUCCACCCACUCAUCCACCGCCAACCGGGCCCCAGCACCUGCCAGCAAGGAAGAACCACGCAGCAGCAACCGACCUAGCUACUAAAUACCCCAAGGCUUGUGACCUCAGAGAUUCCUGGGCUAAAGAUGGGAGAGAGCAUGGAGAUACCCCACGCUCUGGAAUCAACACUGGCUGCUCCAAUCUCACACACCAUGCCCCAGCCCUUUAAAAAGUCCCACCCCAUCCUGUCACUUCUGACUAGUCCUUGGGUUCUCAGGCUGGAUCCCCAAUAACGUAGCCAUUUUCUUUCUUUGCCCUCUUCCAUAGCAACCCAAACUCAGCCUGCGUCCAUACCUUAAAAGAUUCCAGGAAUCCUCCAUGGCCCCCAUUCUCGAACUUGUCCUCC